GCAUUCAUGGUGUAGCGGUAACAUUGGGUCUUCCCAUGGAGAAUCAAUCUCCUGUGUGGCCUAGCUCCGGGUUCGACUCCCGGUGGAUGCA